GUGCGAAUUAACCAUAUCUAUAUAUCGGAAUCAACCGGUUUAAGCUACGGCUAAUAUAAGGACCGUUAGGAUUCUAAGAGGUUAAUUAAAACCUUCGUUCCAGAUUAGGAGCCCCAGUAAAAGCUAUCGGUGACUUGAUCUAAAUUAAGGAUUAAUACUUGCAAAGGUAAAUACUUUAACUUAUUUCCCCUAUAUGGGCUUGGGUUACGGUAUAUUAAUACCGCUUGAUUGAGCAUUAUAUAAUUCCAUCGCUUAGGUGGUUAAUUGAUUAAAUAUGAUCGGCUCAUUUAAACAGUUUUGUUGCUUAUAAGCCUUUGGGGGGUUUAAUGACCGUUGUCCCGGAUAUCCUUGGCAUCAUUUUACGAAAUGGCCACGACCAUCGACAUCCCGGUGUAGGCGUACACCCGGUAUAAAGUGUCGACACUAAAAUUAAAAGACGUAGUCGUUGGUUUUUGUACUACGGUUUUACGCAAACGUGAUGUGUCUAUAAAUCUUUAACCCGGCACGACCCGGGCUACUGAACGCAUAAAAGAACAUGUAAAACGUUCACAAGAUCAUUAUGAAUUUUCCCAAGUUAUAAAAGAGUUUGUGCCCUGUGCAUUCAAAUCAAUUUUACUAAACAUUUUCAAAUGUGUACCUAAACGUAAUUGGCUGGUAUUAGCUCCCUAGCGUCGGGAUAAGCCUCGCAAGCUUGAUUGCAGUAUCUGAUGGAACAAUACUUUAUAUUUAUUUACGAUCCACUGUGGAUAUAUUCAACCCCUGUAAUACAUUUUGAUAUUACGAUCAGAGGUUGAAAUUUAUAUAUUUAUCUUAU
rnacentral:lncRNA from 1 species